rnacentral:rRNA from 1 species
CCUACGGGUGGCUGCAGUGAGGAAUAUUGGUCAAUGGGCGCGCGCCUGAACCAGCCAAGUCGCGUGAGGGAGGACUGCCCUAUGGGUUGUAAACCUCUUUUGUCGGGGAGCAACGUGCGUUAUGUGUAGCGCUAUUGAUAGUACCUGUAGAAAAAGCAUCGGCUAACCCCGUGCCAGCAGCCGCGGUAAUACGGAGGAUGCGAGCGUUAUCCGGAUUUAUUGGGUUUAAGGGGUGCGUAGGCGGAUUGUCAAGUCAGUGGGAAAAUUGGGGGGCUAAACCCCUACCCGCCGUUGAAACUGGCGUUCUUGAGUGGAGGAGAAGUAGGCGGAAUGCGUGGUGUAGCGGUGAAAUGCAUAGAUAUCACGCAGAACCCCGAUUGCGAAGGCAGCAUGCCGGAUUCCAACUGACGCUGAAGCACGAAAGCGUGGGUAUCGAACAGGAUUAGAUACCCUAGUAGUC